rnacentral:ncRNA from 1 species
CUUGUCGGGGUGCCAGAUAUUGGCUGAGAUUAAACCCGUUGAACCUGAAGAGGCUAAUACCUCCGUAGGAAACGAGC